rnacentral:ncRNA from 1 species
GGCACCACCAGGUGUAAACUUUUAAGUCGCAGUUACUCUGCACUGAAUAGCAGCCCUAACGGGUGAGGUGGUUGCGCUUAUCAAACAAAUGUAAAUGCUAGUGAGAUUAUAAUCCUAGUCUUGUUAUACGAGACUGCUUUAUGGUCUUGCGAGACCCUCAAACUGCGGGAAAGUCUUAAAAACACGCUACACUAAGCUAUGUUUCGAAAGAUCAUAGUGGCCGGGGUAAUGACCUAGGGUAUAGUAAAAGCGAGCGUGUUUGUGCCAAUAGAUUAUCCGCAUCCAAGUCCCUAAAGUAUGGCAUGCUCCGGCAUGGCAUUACAAUGGGAAAGGUUCAGAGACUAGAUGGGGGUCGGUUCUUUCCGGAUGGGAAGGGUUUAAGGUAUAGUCCGUUACAAACUGCAGUACAUUUUAGAUGUACGUCUGCUUGGUCUGCUUAUAGCUUUAUCUCACUGAGAUAAAGGUAAAGGGAGCCUGCGG